rnacentral:rRNA from 1 species
GGGAUGACGUCAAAUCAUCAUGCCCCUUAUGUCUUGGGCUUCACGCAUGCUACAAUGGCCGGUACAGAGGGCUGCAAUACCGCAAGGUGGAGCGAAUCCCAAAAAGCCGGUCUCAGUUCGGAUUGAGGUCUGCAACUCGACCUCAUGAAGUCGGAGUCGCUAGUAAUCGUAGAUCAGCAACGCUACGGUGAAUACGUUCCCGGGCCUUGUACACACCGCCCGUCAAGUCACGAAAGUCGAUAACACCCGAAGCCGGUGGCCUAACCGCAAGGAGGGAGCCGUCGAAGGUGGGAUUGGUGAUUGGGACUAAGUCGUAACAAGGUAGCCGUACCGGAAGGUGCGGCUGGAUCACCUCCUUUCUAAGGAG